rnacentral:rRNA from 1 species
AUUGAACGCUGGCGGAAUGCUUUACACAUGCAAGUCGAACGGCAGCACGGACUUCGGUCUGGUGGCGAGUGGCGAACGGGUGAGUAAGGUAUCGGAACGUGCCCAGUCGGGGGGGGUAACGUAGUGAACAUUAAGCUAAUACCGCAUACGAUCUAUGGAUGAAAGCGGGGGAUCGCAAGUACUCGCGCGCUUGGGGGGGCCGAUAUCAGAUUAGGUAGUUGGUGGGGUAAAGGCACACCAAGCCAACGAUCUGUAGCUGGUCUGAGAGGACGACCAGCCACACUGGAACUGAGACACGGUCCAGACUCCUACGGGAGGCAGCAGUGGGGAAUUUUGGACAAUGGGCGAAAGCCUGAUCCAGCCAUUCCGCGUGCAGGAUGAAGGCCCUCGGGUUGUAAGCUGCUUUUGUACAGAACGAAAAGGUUUCUACUAAUACUAGGAGCUCAUGACGGUACUGUAAGAAUAAGCACCGGCUAACUACGUGCCAGCCGCCGCGGUAA